GCAUUCCCCAUGGCAGCAACAACAUGAGGCUGUUUUGUGAAACAGCCUUUGUCCUAAAAUGUUGAGGACAAUAAGGUGGAGGCUGCAGCACAUGGCAAGAAAACACUGGGAACCAAAAAUCCGGCUUCUGUCUCUGAAGUUGAUUGGACGUGAUGGGCCCAGGCAAGAUUUGCCUGGCACAUCGUUCCUAAGGAAGCAGGUUAGUUCUGGUGCUCAGAGUUUCCUGUUCUGCCGUGUGUGUGUGUGUGUGUGUGUGUGUGUGUGUGUGUGUGUGUGUGUUGUGUGUGUUGUGUGUAUGUGUGUGUGUCUGUGUGUGAGUGCAUGCAUGCACAUGAGCACAUAUGCACAUUCCUGUUUAUCUCUGCCAUUGGAGUGUCCCUCUCUGUGUCCCUUCCUCUCCAUCCCUCUCUGUCUUUAUCUCUGCCAGCUCCCCUCUCUCUAUAUCCCUCACUUUCUCCGUUUGUGUAACUCUAUUUUAGACAAUCUCUUAGGCUUCCCAACAUGUUCACAUAUUUUCUUUUCCAAUUUCUAGGAUCCCAACAAUGGAACUUUCCUUCUCUGCUGUCAACAAAGGACUAAAAAACUUCUGUGUGAUUUGAUACAGACAAUUUAGAAAACUUUUGUUUCAAAGUUUCCCAUCCAGACUAGCCAAGGAGAGCAAGGGAGGGGAGCUAAUAAGCCCAUUAAGGUGUCUUCCCAAACAAAUGUUUUCUUUGUCCUUCUGCCCAAAUGCAGAAACAGCUGCAGCUUUAAAAAAUAGCAUACUUUUAUCUUUUGAAGGAAAUAUGUGAAAGUUUUAGCACUGGUUGUCUUUGGUUGGCAAGAAAUUGUUUAGUGUUAUUUAUUUCUUCCUAUUUUUCUGAAUUUUCCAAAUUGUCCACAGCAAGCAUGACUACUUUAUCAUAAUAAAAUCUCCAAUGUAUUAUGCACCUGCUAGAUCUCUGACUUAAUCUUCACAAUAGCCCUAAUAGGGAGAUAUUAAUAUGCCCAUUUAGAGGUUCAGAAAGGUUAGGCAAUUUACUCAAGGUCACACAAGCAGAGGUGGAAAUCAAACUAGACCUUAGGCCCUGAGCCACUAAAUAAUGCUGCUUGUGGAGAUGCCCGUCCUCUACUUCAUCUGCAGGUGCAGAGCCUUGCACAUACAUGAAAGCUCACAAGAUCAUCUGAAUUUCCUCACCUGACUCCUCAUUGUAAAUGUGUUUGUCCUUGUAAACCCUUUGCACCUUUAACUCCAUCUCAGCAGCUGCUUCCUGAAGAAACAAACAGGCACGGAACACAGGAGGAAAAGUGGGAAGAAGGAAAGAAGGAAUGGGCUCCUCUCAUGCCAGGAGCUCUGAAGUUUGAGAAUGGGUAAUGUUUCUUGCCAGCUCCUUCUCCGAAGGCAGAUCAAAGUUACGGGAUCUAACUUUGCCUAAGAAGUCCUGUCCUCUCUUUGUAAAGUUACCAUCUGAGGCAGGACAGCACCAGUUAAGAGACACUAGGUUAGUAGGAAAGAUCAGGAUAUGGCCCUGUGGCCCUACUAGACCAGCUGGGCAGACUGAAUGUGGCCACACAAUUCUGGCUGUGAGCAUUAGAGACAAAUAUGAAAGGGCCAGUGAGACCAUAGAGGACCAUUGCAGAUCAGGGCCUUGCUGAGGCAGUAAAGAUCAACAUGGUUUUGCCACAGGAACAUAGAGUAGGGAAGGCUGUAAGGAGGAGCAGGUGAUAUUUGAUGUGAGCUUUGAUGGGCAAGCUCCCGGGGUACACAGUUACAAACCAGGACUCACAGCCUGCUCAGUACAUGUGUAUUUAGAAAGCUGAGCAUGCAUCAAGGUAUCACGAAGACUUCUUUGGACAUAGCAACAGAAACUGACUCUGGCUAAUGUAAAAGAAAAGAAGAUUUGCAGGAAGGCCACUGGGGAGCUGAAGAACCAGGCAGGGGAGCAGAGAGAAGCCUGGAAGCUCUGGUGCCCUGUGUGGCAGGAGCUCUUUUUCAACAAUUCCACCAGGGCACCACUGUGAAAAUGGAUGAACACCACGAUUUUUAGUGUCAGAGUUUAUUUGUUCAUGAUUCAAUUUCUAAGGAGAGAUACAGUGUUCUCCCACUAGCUUGGCAGGGUCUGAUGUUUUGAUUAACAGUCCUGACAAGAAAGUAUGCACAAUCCAAGAGGUAAGAAGAGAACCAGGAGAAUGUGAGGUCACAGAGAUAAGGGAGGAGAGGUUUCUAUGAAGGCAAUAGCCAAUAUCAUCCAAUGUGACCAACAGGUCCAGUAAAAUGAGGACAAAUAUUUACCUAUAGGAAUUAGCAAUCAGAAAAAGUGGUUUCAGUGUGGAGGUAAAAACAGAAGCUAGAUGCUCUGGGUUGAAGAUUAAAGACGAGGGAAAGUGCGGGAAGACCAUUCCUUUGAGAGAACUGAAUAAGAAGAGAAGGCAAGAGAUUUGUUGUUAGAGAUGUCAUUAGAUAAAGGGAAGAGUCUUUGAGGAUAGGGGAGACUUGGCCCUCGUAUAAGCUAAGAGAAGAGAGCACAGAAGAGGAGAACGUAAAGAUACAGAAGAGAAUGGCAAUAACAGACAAAUCACAGAGGCCAGAGGAAGCGAUUAGGGCCUAGGCAAGGACCUCCUUUGCACUCUGUCUUUGAUGUAGUGUGCUCCUUGCAGUUCAGAAUAUAUUAUACCUCACACUUUCUUGCUCUCUUGUUGCUUGAGUAUGAUUUUAAUCUCUAUGAUGAUUAAUUUUAUGUGUCAACUUGACUGGGCUAAGGGAUGCCCAGAUAGCUGGUAAAACAUUAUUUCUGGGUGCAUAUGUGAGGGUGUUUCUGGAAAAGACUAUCAUUUGAAUCAGUAGACUGAGUAAAGAAAUCACCCUCGUGAAUGUGGGUGAGUAUCCUCUAAUCUACUGAGGGCUGGAACAGACCAAAAAUCCAGAGGAAGGGCAAAUUAUCUCUCUUCUUGAGCUGGGACAUCCAUCUUCUCCUGCCCUCAGACAUCAGAGUUUCUGAUUCUUGGACCUUUAGAAACUUACACUAGCAUCUCUCCUGCCUGCCCCAGUUUUCAGGCCUUCAGCUUCAAACCUGAAGUUACACCAUCAGCUGCCCUGGUUUUCAGGUCUUUGGACUCAGACUGAAUUACACCAUGGGCUUUCCUGGCUCUCCAGCUUGCAGAUGGCAGAUGUGGGAUUUCUUAGCCUCCAUAAUUAUGUGAGCUAAUUCCCUUAAUAAAUGUCCUCGUCUAUCUAUCUAUCUAUCUAUCAUCUAUCUAUCUAUCCAUCCUAUUGGUUCUGUUUCCCUGAAGAACCCAGACUAAUAUAACCUCAAUUCAACCAUAAGCUCCUUGAAGGCAGGAACCAUGUCUUUGUAAGCAGAACAGGAAUGGUGCUGCAUAGGAGAUUGAGAGACCAGAAUCCUAGGACUAAUUUGUAUUAUCAGACUGUGCUAGACUGAAAGUUACUGAUAACUACAGUGGUGUGGCCAGAUAGGUUUUUUAAUUUUCUUAUAAAAUAAGAAGGCUGGAAGUAGGCAGUUCAGAGCUGGUACAGCAGCUCCACGGUGUAUUUAACAUGUCAGACUCCUAUUCAUUCAUUCAGCCAUCUUUAGUAGGUGGCUUUGGAGUUCACGCUUGGAGUUCACUUCUAAGAUUCAUAAUGGCUCCUUGGCCUCUGGGCUUAUACCCACAUUCUAAGCCAAAAGGAAAAAGGAGGAGAGGGACAGAAAGCUUGCAAAGCAAAAUCUUCCUACUAAUCCCAGGUGGACUCCUGUUUGCUUCUUGUGGCCAUCUCUAGCUGCACAGGAGUCUACCGCUCUAAACUGAAUUGGGGCUUCAUUGUACUCUAGCUUCUCUGCAUCCCUGCCUUCCUCCUAACAGCAUUCUUUGGGUUUCCGUUUGGGAAAUUGCCCCUCUCCACUAUGAGAGUCUUAGUAGGAGAGUAAAUUCAGAUGCUUUCCUUUCAACUUCUGCAGUUGAAGGAGUUUGCCAACACCUUUCCCAGGACAAAUAGGAGAGUGUAUACUAAUGUUGGCCAAUCUGAGGGCCUCUCCCAAGACUUUGGCUAGUGUGCAAGUGAAACAAGGGCAUAGAAAGUGUCUAGAGUUUAAUCAUCUAUCUCUGCAGCAGCUUCCUGACCAGACCAUUUCUACUAAGAGAUUAUUCCCAGGGUUUUCACUUUCUAGCUUUUCAGAGCUACUUUCUCCCUAUCCGUUUCUAAGCCUGGAUCUCCAAACUUUCUGUAAGUUCUGAAGGCCCAAUCCUGCCAAUAAACUCCCAUCUACUGGGUCACAGAGACUGUUUCAAUUGCUUCUAACAAAAAAGUCCUGACUAAUACUCCAAACCCACCACUGGUCAGGCGUGAUCUCGAGAAAAUCCUCUAACCUCUCUGGGUACUCUCUACUGAUCACAAAAGGAUGGGUUAUUCCUAAAGGCUUUUCCAUUAUGACUUUGACCACCUCCAGAAGGCCCUCUUUGUACCAAGUAGGCCCAAAUGGACAUCAAAGCCUGGAUUAGGGUUUUAGCAAUAGGGGUAAAAUAUAAAAGCUCCAUUAGGAACGGCAGCUGACAGCACUGGGAUGCUGCUACUGGAGCACUCCUUGGGCAAUUAACCCAGGUAAGCACCAACCAAAACCCACUCCACUG
rnacentral:lncRNA from 1 species